UUAAUGGUACUGAACGAAGAGGACACUGGAGGUUUCUCAGAAAACUUCAGUGACCCAGAAAAAAAUGACUAAUGAUUCGAGACGAUUAUCAGUUAACUAUAAAGGAAAUAAAAUGAGUUUAUAGUGAUUUUGACGGGAUGAGGCAUUCAAACAGAUGCCUGAGCGAAACGGAAACAUAUCGAGUAUGUAUUAUGUCCGUCUUCUGGAGUCGCGUUAUUGUUUGGAGAAAAUCACCUAGAAUUAUACAUAAAGCCCUCCUGUCUAUAGGAGACAACGAUUCUAUGGACAGUUCGUAAAUGGGAUUCUAUGACUGGAGUGUCGGAUCAGGGUCUAGCUAGCAGACGACCUUUGUUUCAAAGAAAAAAAAGGUGAUCUUUAUUUUAAAAUGUUCAAAUAUGAUCUUAUGAACAUUUAAUAUUUUUGAAAAUAAAUUUGGAAAUUAAUAUGUUAUAGCA